rnacentral:lncRNA from 1 species
UAGAGUUUGACACCAUGGGUGUCGAUGUAAUACCCGGCUAGAGUCCGGCAUCGGAAUUCUACUUUCCGAUGGAGUUUCGGAUGUCGGAAGUCUCUAGAAGGGUUAGAGUGAUGUUUUUCUAACAUGUUUUGGUAUGUGUUAUAGUUUUAACGCGUAAGGAAAUGAGUUGUUUUGAAUGAAAUGAACCAAGGCAGAAAAGUCAGGUUCGACCGCCGAAGUUGAGGUUCGGCCGCCGAACAUGCAUGGCUUUCGGUUUCACGUGUGGCCGCCGAAGGUGGUCUGGCCAGCCACCUAUAAAUGGCCUUCAGUCGGUUGAAGCGGUAAGAUCACCGUUUCUUUCACGUUCUGAGGUGAGACCCUGUCCUUUGUGAGUAUUCUUUCAUGUUUUCAUCCAAUCUUGCAAAGAUUUGAUUAGUUUUUAUGGUAUUUUGAAGGUUUUAAGCUAAAUCUCAAAGUUGUGAAGUUUGGAGAGUUUGAAGGCG